rnacentral:lncRNA from 1 species
AAAAUUGAGGAGAAUAGAUAAUAAAAAUUUUCACAUUAGGGACUUGACUUAAGAAAAAAAAAUUAUUAUUGAAAGGGAAAUAACAUACUUGAAAGGGAAAUAAACAUACUGAUAGGAAAUCUUAACAUGAAUGAAACAAAGUUUUCCCCCCUACACUUAAAUAAAACAUUGUCCCCAAUGUUUCAAAAAAAGCGAAAAAAAAAGGAAAAAAU